AGAACGCUGAAGAGAGGAGCUUGCUCUUCUUGGAUGAGUUGCGAACGGGUGAGUAACGCGUAGGUAACCUGCCUUGUAGCGGGGGAUAACUAUUGGAAACGAUAGCUAAUACCGCAUAACAAUGGAUGACACAUGUCAUUUAUUUGAAAGGGGCAAUUGCUCCACUACAAGAUGGACCUGCGUUGUAUUAGCUAGUAGGUGAGGUAAUGGCUCACCUAGGCGACGAUACAUAGCCGACCUGAGAGGGUGAUCGGCCACACUGGGACUGAGACACGGCCCAGACUCCUACGGGAGGCAGCAGUAGGGAAUCUUCGGCAAUGGGGGCAACCCUGACCGAGCAACGCCGCGUGAGUGAAGAAGGUUUUCGGAUCGUAAAGCUCUGUUGUAAGUCAAGAACGGGUGUGAGAGUGGAAAGUUCACACUGUGACGGUAGCUUACCAGAAAGGGACGGCUAACUACGUGCCAGCAGCCGCGGUAAUACGUAGGUCCCGAGCGUUGUCCGGAUUUAUUGGGCGUAAAGCGAGCGCAGGCGGUUUGAUAAGUCUGAAGUUAAAGGCUGUGGCUCAACCAUAGUUCGCUUUGGAAACUGUCAAACUUGAGUGCAGAAGGGGAGAGUGGAAUUCCAUGUGUAGCGGUGAAAUGCGUAGAUAUAUGGAGGAACACCGGUGGCGAAAGCGGCUCUCUGGUCUGUAACUGACGCUGAGGCUCGAAAGCGUGGGGAGCGAACAGGAUUAGAUACCCUGGUAGUCCACGCCGUAAACGAUGAGUGCUAGGUGUUGGAUCCUUUCCGGGAUUCAGUGCCGCAGCUAACGCAUUAAGCACUCCGCCUGGGGAGUACGACCGCAAGGUUGAAACUCAAAGGAAUUGACGGGGGCCCGCACAAGCGGUGGAGCAUGUGGUUUAAUUCGAAGCAACGCGAAGAACCUUACCAGGUCUUGACAUCCCGAUGCUAUUUCUAGAGAUAGAAAGUUACUUCGGUACAUCGGUGACAGGUGGUGCAUGGUUGUCGUCAGCUCGUGUCGUGAGAUGUUGGGUUAAGUCCCGCAACGAGCGCAACCCCUAUUGUUAGUUGCCAUCAUUCAGUUGGGCACUCUAGCGAGACUGCCGGUAAUAAACCGGAGGAAGGUGGGGAUGACGUCAAAUCAUCAUGCCCCUUAUGACCUGGGCUACACACGUGCUACAAUGGUUGGUACAACGAGUUGCGAGUCGGUGACGGCGAGCUAAUCUCUUAAAGCCAAUCUCAGUUCGGAUUGUAGGCUGCAACUCGCCUACAUGAAGUCGGAAUCGCUAGUAAUCGCGGAUCAGCACGCCGCGGUGAAUACGUUCCCGGGCCUUGUACACACCGCCCGUCACACCACGAGAGUUUGUAACACCCGAAGUCGGUGAGGUAACCUUUUGGAGCCAGCCGCC
rnacentral:rRNA from 1 species